GUGCUCGCUUCAGCAGCACAUAUCCUAACAUUGGAACAAAACAGAGAAGAUUAGCAUGGCCCAUGCACAAGGAUGACACAUGAAAUUUGUGAAGCAUUCCACAGAUUC